rnacentral:lncRNA from 1 species
AUGAACGCGCCCUAUAUACAAAUGAUCCCCACCCCACCCAAUCAGCUCCUGAGGGGGCGGGGCCGCCCGUCCCGUAGGCACCUGUGGCCGCCCUGCGCUCCGAGCUCUGUGCUGCUGCUGCCUGGCUGGUACUUGAGCGUCCAGAGGGCCCAGGCCCAGCAGGCCCGGCCCUUUUUCCUUCUGGCUUCUGGAAGGCCAGAAGAUAAGGUCAGCAGAGCCAUCCACCAUCCGCUUCUCCCCAACUGGUGGCAGAAGGAUUGUCACCCCCAUUUACAGGUGAGAAAACUGAGCCCCCCGCUGGGGAGACUGCCACGGGUGAACCAUCCGUGGGAGGGUGGCAUUCUUCCUCAGCCCCAUAUCUCUAUCACCAAAGUGCUAAAUAAUCUUGCCAGGCCUGGGAGGUGACAGUCUACGGCCCCAAGGACCCCAGAGGUGUUUGUUGAUUGACUUAGUGACCACCAGGCACUCAUGAAAUCUUCCUUUGUCCUCUCCAUUCCUCCCCUGCACAGUGCUCAGGCCUGGGACCCUGGGCUCCUCCCCCUCCCCCCAGAAGCUUGCCACCAGUGCAUCCUGGCCCUUUGAUUGCCAAGCAGUCUUCCACUUCUGCCCCCGUCCUAGUUCAGGCCUCAUGUCUCCCACUGGACACCUGUCCGGGCCUUUCCUUGCCCUCCUUAUUAGACGCUACUCCCCACAGCAGUCAUGAGCAGGAGAAGCUUUAGAAAAAAAAAUCUUUUGGUUGAGAUAAAUCAUAGAGAGAAAGAUGCACCAAUCAUUGGAGUAGGGUUAAUACAUUGGCACAAACUAAACACGUCUGUGUACCCGGACUCUGGACCAGGGAGGAACCCCUGAAACCCCCACUGCUCUGUCAUGGCACCCUGCCUGGGAUGGCCACCAUGUGACGUUCACCAUUGUGAGCUUCGCCUACUCUAGAGCUGCACGUAAAUGGAAUUAUACAGCGUGUCCCCUCUGUCCAGUCCAGCAUUGUUGAAUCAGCGUGUGGUCUGAGAGAUUCACCUGUGUGGUUGCGUGGAUCUGGAGUGCAUCCUUUUACCGUGCUGUGUAGUAGUCCAUCAUAGAAUCUACCAGAAAGUACUAACUGGUUCUCCCAUUGAGGGCAUUUGGUGGGUUCCAGCUUGGGGCCAUGAUGAACGAAGCUACUGAAGACACUCUUGUCAGUGUUGGCCUUUGGUAAAUUAUGGAUCCAUUUCUCUUGGGUGAAUACUGAGGAGAGAGAUCGCUGGGUCAUAGGGAAGAUGUAUAUUCAGCUUUAGCAGAUGCCAGAUAGCUUUCCAGAGUGGCUCUACCUCUCUCCCUUCCCACCAGCAAUGUAAGAGAAUGCACGGGGAUUUUUAAAACUGUAAAAUUAUGUCCUGUGCCCCCAAACUCUCCAUGGCUCUUCGUUGAC